GAUGGCCGAUUUAAGCGAUAGAUUGUAAAUCUUUUUAAGACCUUGUCUC
rnacentral:tRNA from 1 species